UACGUAGGGCGCAAGCGUUGUUCGGAAUUACUGGGCGUAAAGGGCUCGUAGGCGGCCAACUAAGUCAGACGUGAAAUCCCCAGGCUCAACCUGGGAACUGCGUCUGAUACUGGAUGGCUUGAAUCCGGGAGAGGGAUGCAGAAUUCCAGGUGUAGCGGUGAAAUGCGUAGAUAUCUGGAGGAAUACCGGUGGCGAAGGCGGCAUCCUGGACCGGCAUCGACGCUGAGGAGCGAAAGCCAGGGGAGCAAACGGG
rnacentral:rRNA from 1 species